CUUGUGCACUGUCUCAACUGCAAAUCCGGCGAAGUUGUAGUGCGAGUGAAGAUGCUCGCUACCCGCGAUUGGACGGAAAGACCCCGUAGAGCUUUACUGUAGCUUAGCAUUGAAUUUCGGUAUUGUCUGUACAGGAUAGGUGGGAGACUGGGAAAUCAGAGCGUCAGCUUUGAUGGAGUCAUCCUUGGGAUACCACCCUGAUAGUACUGGAAUUCUAACUGGAUGCCAUGAAUCUGGUGACAGGACAUUGUUAGGUGGGCAGUUUGACUGGGGCGGUCGCCUCCUAAAAAGUAACGGAGGCGCCCAAAGGUUCCCUCAGAACGGUCGGAAAUCGUUCGUAGAGUGCAAAGGCAUAAGGGAGCCUGACUGCGAGACCUACAAGUCGAGCAGGGACGAAAGUCGGGCUUAGUGAUCCGGUGGUACCUCGUGGGAGGGCCAUCGCUCAACGGAUAAAAGCUACCUCGGGGAUAAC
rnacentral:rRNA from 1 species